AGGACGAACGCUGGCGGCGUGCUUAACACAUGCAAGUCGAGCGGAAAGGCCACUUCGGUGGUACUCGAGCGGCGAACGGGUGAGUAACACGUGAGUAAUCUGCCCUUGGCUUUGGGAUAGCCACCGGAAACGGUGAUUAAUACCGGAUAUGACUGCUCCUCGCAUGAGGUGGUGGUGGAAAGUUUUUUCGGCCAGGGAUGUGCUCGCGGCCUAUCAGCUUGAUGGUGGGGUAAUGGCUCACCAUGGCUUCGACGGGUAGCCGGCCUGAGAGGGUGACCGGUCACGACUGGGACUGAGACACGGCCCAGACU
rnacentral:rRNA from 1 species